rnacentral:lncRNA from 1 species
GCUGGUAGUGGUGAACCAGAGGCUAUUGCAUCAUGCUUUGCAAGUAAACCUUGCAAGUUAUCAUUUAAUUCCAGGCCUUGAGCCAAAAGUUCCUCGUCUCUGUCGAUAUGACCAAGUACCCUUUUUAGUGGUCAUUGCAAACAUAUAAAUGCUACUCCUUGUAGAAGACAUAAUCAAAGGGAAACAGGUCCCAACAUCAUCAAAGAUCCACGUGGCUCCACAUUUGUCAAAUUCCCAACGUUGAAUCAAGUCAAGGAUGCAAUUAGUAGGCAAAUGUUUGUGGAGGCAGAAGAACCAACAAUCAGGGGAAGGUCAUGUGACAUCAUCACAGAUAGUGAGGAUAAUCAUUUCAUACACCAGCCAAUAAUAUAGGAUAGUAGAAUGUGCCAGUGCAAGAGACUCACUGGGAUCGACAGGGGAGGCCAAAUCCAUGGAACAUUAAACCUGAUAACAGGAAGAGUAAUUCAACAGCUAGAACAUUUGUGCCUACGUGGCCCUAGAGAAACGUUAUUGUAGCUAAUACUCACCCUCCAAAGAAAAUUUGUCAAAGAAAAAGAAAAGGAACAAAGAUUACUGACAAAUCUCAUAAUUGGAAAUAAAAGCUAGUAAAAGCUCACUUCGACACUAGCUAAAACAAUCAAGGUACUUUAAUACUUCAAUCAUAAUUGUAAAGUAAAGAUUUACAAUCAAUAAGCUACCUGAUUGAAUUUAUGGAUUGCAUCAGCUUCCUUUGAUUGAAGCGACACUGGUUGACGAGAUCUAUGAUCACUUCAUCUUUAACAGCCUACACAGAGUGAAUAAUCACUAAACUAACUAAAAAUGAUUAACCAAUAUUUUUGGACCUAUAAAUAAAUAUAAUCUUAAUGUGAAGUGUCAACUAUACUGUUUUCUGAAAAAAUAAGAAUGAACAAAUAAAAGAAGCAUACAGC